rnacentral:tRNA from 1 species
GCCUGGUUGGCUCAGUUGGUAGAGCAUGCAACUCUUGAUCUCAGGGCUGUAAGUUCGAGCCCCACAUUGGGUG